rnacentral:rRNA from 1 species
GAUGAACGCUAGCUACAGGCUUAACACAUGCAAGUCGAGGGGAAACGGCAUUGAGUGCUUGCACUCUUUGGACGUCGACCGGCGCACGGGUGAGUAACGCGUAUCCAACCUUCCCAUUACUGUGGGAUAACCUGCCGAAAGGCAGACUAAUACCGCAUAGUCUUCGAUGACGGCAUCAGAUUUGAAGUAAAGAUUUAUCGGUAAUGGAUGGGGAUGCGUCUGAUUAGCUUGUUGGCGGGGUAACGGCCCACCAAGGCGACGAUCAGUAGGGGUUCUGAGAGGAAGGUCCCCCACAUUGGAACUGAGACACGGUCCAAACUCCUACGGGAGGCAGCAGUGAGGAAUAUUGGUCAAUGGACGGAAGUCUGAACCAGCCAAGUAGCGUGCAGGAUGACGGCCCUAUGGGUUGUAGACUGCUUUUGUAUGGGGAUAAAGUU